ensembl:lncRNA
CACCUUUUGUGAGUUACUUGACCUUUUUGUGAUUAAUUUAACCUUUAUAGUUACUUAACACCUUUUUGUAUUAGAUCUAAAAAUAGACUUAGCUUAAAGUUCUAGCUUCACUAUAAGGUGAGAACUAAGUACCUUCAUUGUUCAAUUGGGAGAUUUCAACUUUAUCUUCCCCUAAAGUACAGUCUAAGUAGGGUGGAGUAGGUUUUAAAGUUCAUAUGCUGUUGCUGCUGGUGGUCAUUCCAGUCAUGUCUGACUCUUCAUGUCCCCAUUUGGGUUUUCUCAGCAAAAUCACUGGCGUGGUUUGCCAUUUCCUUCUUCGAUUAAUUUGACAGAUGAGGAAACUGAAGCAAAUACAGUGAAGUGACUUACCCAGAAACAUUUGAGAUUUUCUUUUUCUUUCUUUUUUUUAAACCCUCACCUUCCAUCUUAGAAUCAAUACUAUGUAUUGGUUCCAAGGCAGAAGAAUGGUAAGGACUAGGCAGGUUCACACAUCAAGGAAGUAUCUGAGGUCAGAUUUAAACCUAUGACCUCCAUCUCUAAGCUUGACUCUCUAUCCACUGAGUUACUCAGUGGCCCGCUGAGAUUUUCUUGACAAAGAUACUGGAGUGGUUUGCCAUUUCCUUCUCCAGCUCAUUUGACAGAAAAGGAAACUGAGGCAGACAGGAUUUAGUGGCCUGCUCAGGGACCCACAGUCAAUGUGUGAGGCCAGAUUUAACCUCAGGAAGAUGAGGAAAUUCUCCUCUACAGAUCUGGGAACAUGGUUACCUUCCCAGCUCCAAAGAUCAUUUUCACUCCUGAAGAAACACCUUGCCUAGGAAGUGUCUGAGGCCAUAUUUGAACUCAGGAAGAUUAAUCUUCCUAAUUCAGGCCUGGCACUCUAUCCACUGUCCCACCUAGCUUCACACACACACACACAUAUAGAGACUAUAUAUGUAAUGGGACAUUGCACACUGAUGCCCCUGGCGGUUAGGAAAUCCCCCAGCAUUCAUCUACAUUCAUUAUCCCCUAGCCCUGAGACGGAGAAAAGGUAAGGUGGUGACUGACAGAUUGCCUUCUCCUCCUGAGAGAAAGAAGUCUAGAAGACAGACCCAGUGCUGUCUCCAGGGGAGCCUUCAAGCAAGACGUGAGAAGAUGGGUAGCAUAAGGGUAGUCCAACUGCUAAGCUCACCCAAAGAGAAGGGCAGACCCAAGGCUGGAGAGGCACACCUGAAGAAUUUCUUGAGGAUUCCAUGAAAGGAGACAAGGACUCCCAGGAACCAGUAGCUGUACAGAGAAAACAAAAGCAAUCCUGACCCUCAGGAUGCUACUGGG